GCACUCCUGAGGAGUCCCAUACUAGGACGAAACGGCCGUCCAGUGC
rfam:Schistosoma curassoni strain Dakar, Senegal genome assembly, scaffold: SCTD_scaffold0002695